rnacentral:rRNA from 1 species
AUUGAACGCUGGCGGCAGGCCUAACACAUGCAAGUCGAGCGGAGCUGCCGACGGGUGAGUGAUGCAUAGGAAUCUGCCUGGUAGUGAGGGAUAAGGUCCGGAAACGGACGCUAAUACCGCAUACUAUCAGAUGAGCCUAGGUCGGAUUAGCUAGUUGGUGGGGUAAAGGCCUACCAAGGCGACGAUCCGUAACUGGUCUGAGAGGAUGAUCAGUCACACUGGAACUGAGACACGGUCCAGACUCCGACGGGAGGCAGCAGUUGGGAAUAUUGGACAAUGGGCGAAAGCCUGAUCCAGCCAUGCCGCGUGUGUGAAGAAGGUCUUCGGAUUGUAAAGCACUUUAAGUUGGGAGGCGUUACCAACAGAAUAAGCACCGGCUAACUUCGUGCCAGCAGCCGCGGUAAUAC